CCAGAGUUGGAUGCGUUAAACACUCAUUUGCGGAGCAGCACCUUAAACAGAGCAACAUGGCUGGACAUCCUGUGAGCUCUUUUGGGUUUUUAUGCAUCUCAUGUCUGAUUGGAGGGGUCAUUUCACUACCACUGAAAGACCUCGGCUCAAACGAUCCAUUCCCAGCAUGGAGUGACCACAGCAGUCCUGGCUCUGCUUAUCCCAAAGCUGGUGAUGGAGGCAUGGUGUUUCCUUAUGGCAGAGCAAUGCAAGAGUACUACGGACAAGAGCCUUCAGCUUGGUCCAAGCAGAACAGUGACGCUAAGGCUGAUGGAGGGGUCUACUCAAAUGAAGGCUCGGAUAUGGAUGCUGGAGACUCUGUCUGGGCCAAGAACGGUGGUAUGGACUCUGGUAGUGACGGUUACUACCCUGUUCCUGAAGGCUACUCUAAGGAGCUAGUCCCCUCCAUGGAGGAGGAGACCCCGGAAGAGGAGGAGGAGCCCGUGUUGAGCGACGUCUCUGACCUGGAUCCGGUCUACCACUUCAGUUCCAGGUCCCGCUACCAGCAAGGCAGACAGGCCUUCUUCCUAACCAGAUACAACCCCGGAGAGCCUACGGUCGGCUCUGCUGACAUGGCAGACUCCAAAAGUAAUGGAAUGGGAAAUGGUAAAGGAUGGCCAGUUGUUGCACAAGAGCCUGGGAAGGGUGGCUACUGAUCAACUGCAAUGUCUUAAUUUAUAAUGGCUGUAUAUGAAUAAAUGUUUGCCUUUGAAACCUAUUUACUCUGCUUUGAUACAGUGUUUGCUAAGUUUGAAGAUGUCCAUAAAGCACUUUUGUGUCUCUUCAACAAACUGUUAUCCUGGAUCCAUUAAACUUCGCUAUUUCAAGUGUCUCUGACAAAAUAUUAGGCCCACAGGGUGCCUUCAAAAAUGGAAGUGAAAUGCAGAAUAGUUGGAAGGCCACCAACAUUACAUGUCAAACUAAUUGCAGAGGACUAUACUCUUAAACUAGACUAAUUGGGAGUGCUACGUGCUCUCAAGGACACAACUUUGCAGUUAAUGCUUGCCAAUACUGCGUUCUGGCUAUGGUAUGAUUCGAAAAUGGCGUUUGGAUUAGGAUUUAGGCACCAUAUUUGACGAUGUCUGACACUACAACCAUUUAACAGACCGUCAGUGGCCAGGAUUCUCUGGUAAAAGAGGUUUUUAUUCUCAAUGAGACUUCUGGUUAAAUAAAUUAACAUGGCUUAAGAUAAAUAACUGGCUGCGUGCUAAAGACAUGGAACAAAUGUUUAAUUGGUAUCAAACAAAGGACAAAAUGUAUACUUCAAUCCCUGCUGAUAAAGUUCAGGGCUAUGUCCCUCAAUGUUGCCAGUAUACCUGUAGGCAUCCUUGAAUUAUGUACCUUACUCCUGUUCAUAAAUAGCAUGUACCUAAAAAAUGUGUGCGAGUGCUAAUUGUGCUAACAUUGGUUGCUAAUAGUCAAUGUGGCUGCUGAUGAAGGUCAACCGGUGUGGUUAAUCAGUAAACAAUUGAACUGGAGUGAACAAUCCUUUAAAGAAUCACUGUCCUCUCUGAGGGGUAUUAGUUUACAGGUCCUGGAUAUUGGUUUGCAGAGCAAACCCAGCAAAACCUUCCAACAAACAUGCAAGGUCAACCUGGAUACUGUGUCUGAUCCGGUGUACAUUAUCAUUACCAGUAGAUAAUGGUUUUGGCUCAAAAAUACCUUCACCUGCAUUGACCGACUUGAGCGUUCCAGGCUCUGCUCAUCCCAAAGUUGGUGAAAGUAGUUUGGUGGAUACUUCUAGGAGCACAUCCCAAGAUGACUACAACCUAGAAGGGCCUUUGCCCGGGUCCCGCCAUAGCGGCCACAGAAACACUGAGGCUGGACUCGACAAGCAAACCCCAGAGGGCAGCGAGGCUAGCCACCUGGUGGACUAUGAGGAGCUGGUGUGGAUCCAUGUCCCUGACCUUGAGCCGGGCGACUCCUUCAGCUACCAGCAAGCUGCACAGGUCUCCAUGCAAGCCCCCUAACCUCCCAGAUAGGUCUUGUCCUUGCCCCUCCCCAGACGCUUCUCUCUGCCAGGCCAACCACUAUUUGGGGCAUCUGCAAACUUGCAUUUUUAACUACUAUAACACAUGACUCUUUUGUCAAACUUUUACUAUUUGUAUAAUAAAUCGUCAUCUUUUA